rnacentral:rRNA from 1 species
CAGCCGCCACGGUAAUACGAAGGGUGCAAGCGUUAAUCGGAAUUACUGGGCGUAAAGCGUGCGUAGGCGGUUUGUUAAGUCUGUUGUGAAACCCCCGGGCUCAACCUGGGAAUGGCAAUGGAUACUGGCAAGCUAGAGUGUGUCAGAGGAUGGUGGAAUUCCCGGCGUAGCGGUGAAAUGCGUAGAGAUCGGGAGGAACAUCAGUGGCGAAGGCGGCCAUCUGGGACAACACUGACGCUGAGGCACGAAAGCGUGGGGAGCAAACAGGAUUAGAUACCCCUGUAGUCCCUGUCUCUUAUAC